AGUGCCCCGCGCCACGCGCGCCUGCUCCCGCGCCGCCUGCCCUGCAGCCUGCCCGCGGCGCCUUUAUACCCAGCGGGCUCGGCGCUCACUAAUGUUUAACUCGGGGCCGAAACUUGCCAGCGGCGAGUGACUCCACCGCCCGGAGCAGCGGUGCAGGACGCGCGUCUCCGCCGCCCGCGGUGACUUCUGCCUGCGCUCCUUCUCUGAACGCUCACUUCCGAGGAGACGCCGACGAUGAAGGUGAGUGCCGCGCCACGUACGUCCCCGGGGCGAGCUGUGGGGACCUCUUCGCCAAACUCCCCAAAUGGCCCAAAAGCUGGCGAAACCGGACCAGGGACUCCCCUUAGGCGGAAGCCCCAAGGCCACCCUCUGACAGACACCGUGGAAGGUUCUUCUGGGACUGCUGGGUGCUGCUGCGCUUGUCACCAUCAUCACCGUGCCCGUGGUUCUGCUGAACAAAGGCACAGAUGAUGCUACAGCUGACAGUCGCAAAACUUACACUCUAACUGAUUACUUAAAAAAUACUUAUAGACUGAAGUUAUACUCCUUAAGAUGGAUUUCAGAUCAUGAAUAUCUCUACAAACAAGAAAAUAAUAUCUUGGUAUUCAAUGCUGAAUAUGGAAACAGCUCAGUUUUCUUGGAGAACAGUACAUUUCAUAUGGCAAAGUGGAUCUUUCUCUCCUUCUUGAAAUGCUCCCUGCCUUGGCUACUUUUUAGUCUCCUUUGACGAUUCCUCUUCCUCUGCCCAUAUUUUUAAAUGAUGAGUUUGGACAUUCUAUCAAUGAUUAUUCAAUAUCUCCUGAUGGGCAGUUUAUUCUCUUAGAAUACAACUACGUGAAGCAAUGGAGGCAUUCCUACACAGCUUCAUAUGACAUUUAUGAUUUAAAUAAAAGGCAGCUGAUUACAGAAGAGAGGAUUCCAAACAACACACAGUGGGUCACAUGGUCACCAGUGGGUCAUAAAUUGGCAUAUGUUUGGAACAAUGACAUUUAUGUUAAAAUUGAACCAAAUUUACCAAGUUACAGAAUCACAUGGACGGGGAAAGAAGAUAUAAUAUAUAAUGGAAUAACUGACUGGGUUUAUGAAGAGGAAGUCUUCAGUGCCUACUCUGCUCUGUGGUGGUCUCCAAACGGCACUUUUUUAGCAUAUGCCCAAUUUAACGACACAGAAGUCCCACUUAUUGAAUACUCCUUCUACUCUGAUGAGUCACUGCAGUACCCAAAGACUGUACGGGUUCCAUAUCCAAAGGCAGGAGCUGUGAAUCCAACUGUAAAGUUCUUUGUUGUAAAUACAGACUCUCUCAGCUCAGUCACCAAUGCAACUUCCAUACAAAUCACUGCUCCUGCUUCUAUGUUGAUAGGGGAUCACUACUUGUGUGAUGUGACAUGGGCAACACAAGAAAGAAUUUCUUUGCAGUGGCUCAGGAGGAUUCAGAACUAUUCGGUCAUGGAUAUUUGUGACUAUGAUGAAUCCAGUGGAAGAUGGAACUGCUUAGUGGCACGGCAACACAUUGAAAUGAGUACUACUGGCUGGGUUGGAAGAUUUAGGCCUUCAGAACCUCAUUUUACCCUUGAUGGUAAUAGCUUCUACAAGAUCAUCAGCAAUGAAGAAGGUUACAGACACAUUUGCUAUUUCCAAAUAGAUAAAAAAGACUGCACAUUUAUUACAAAAGGCACCUGGGAAGUCAUCGGGAUAGAAGCUCUAACCAGUGAUUAUCUAUACUACAUUAGUAAUGAAUAUAAAGGAAUGCCAGGAGGAAGGAAUCUUUAUAAAAUCCAACUUAGUGACUAUACAAAAGUGACAUGCCUCAGUUGUGAGCUGAAUCCGGAAAGGUGUCAGUACUAUUCUGUGUCAUUCAGUAAAGAGGCGAAGUAUUAUCAGCUGAGAUGUUCCGGUCCUGGUCUGCCCCUCUAUACUCUACACAGCAGCGUGAAUGAUAAAGGGCUGAGAGUCCUGGAAGACAAUUCAGCUUUGGAUAAAAUGCUGCAGAAUGUCCAGAUGCCCUCCAAAAAACUGGACUUCAUUAUUUUGAAUGAAACAAAAUUUUGGUAUCAGAUGAUCUUGCCUCCUCAUUUUGAUAAAUCCAAGAAAUAUCCUCUACUAUUAGAUGUGUAUGCAGGCCCAUGUAGUCAAAAAGCAGACACUGUCUUCAGACUGAACUGGGCCACUUACCUUGCAAGCACAGAAAACAUUAUAGUAGCUAGCUUUGAUGGCAGAGGAAGUGGUUACCAAGGAGAUAAGAUCAUGCAUGCAAUCAACAGAAGACUGGGAACAUUUGAAGUUGAAGAUCAAAUUGAAGCAGCCAGACAAUUUUCAAAAAUGGGAUUUGUGGACAACAAACGAAUUGCAAUUUGGGGCUGGUCAUAUGGAGGGUACGUAACCUCAAUGGUCCUGGGAUCGGGAAGUGGCGUGUUCAAGUGUGGAAUAGCCGUGGCGCCUGUAUCCCGGUGGGAGUACUAUGACUCAGUGUACACAGAACGUUACAUGGGUCUCCCAACUCCAGAAGACAACCUUGACCAUUACAGAAAUUCAACAGUCAUGAGCAGAGCUGAAAAUUUUAAACAAGUUGAGUACCUCCUUAUUCAUGGAACAGCAGAUGAUAACGUUCACUUUCAGCAGUCAGCUCAGAUCUCCAAAGCCCUGGUCGAUGUUGGAGUGGAUUUCCAGGCAAUGUGGUAUACUGAUGAAGACCAUGGAAUAGCUAGCAGCACAGCACACCAACAUAUAUAUACCCACAUGAGCCACUUCAUAAAACAAUGUUUCUCUUUACCUUAGCACCUCAAAAUACCAUGCCAUUUAAAGCUUAUUAAAACUCAUUUUUGUUUUCAUUAUCUCAAAACUGCACUGUCAAGAUGAUGAUGAUCUUUAAAAUACACACUCAAAUCAAGAAACUUAAGGUUACCUUUGUUCCCAAAUUUCAUACCUAUCAUCUUAAGUAGGGACUUCUGUCUUCACAACAGAUUAUUACCUUACAGAAGUUUGAAUUAUCCGGUCGGGUUUUAUUGUUUAAAAUCAUUUCUGCAUCAGCUGCUGAAACAACAAAUAGGAAUUGUUUUUAUGGAGGCUUUGCAUAGAUUCCCUGAGCAGGAUUUUAAUCUUUUUCUAACUGGACUGGUUCAAAUGUUGUUCUCUUCUUUAAAGGGAUGGCAAGAUGUGGGCAGUGAUGUCACUAGGGCAGGGACAGGAUAAGAGGGAUUAGGGAGAGAAGAUAGCAGGGCAUGGCUGGGAACCCAAGUCCAAGCAUACCAACACGAGCAGGCUACUGUCAGCUCCCCUCGGAGAAGAGCUGUUCACAGCCAGACUGGCACAGUUUUCUGAGAAAGACUAUUCAAACAGUCUCAGGAAAUCAAAUAUGCAAAGCACUGACUUCUAAGUAAAACCACAGCAGUUGAAAAGACUCCAAAGAAAUGUAAGGGAAACUGCCAGCAACGCAGGCCCCCAGGUGCCAGUUAUGGCUAUAGGUGCUACAAAAACACAGCAAGGGUGAUGGGAAAGCAUUGUAAAUGUGCUUUUAAAAAAAAAUACUGAUGUUCCUAGUGAAAGAGGCAGCUUGAAACUGAGAUGUGAACACAUCAGCUUGCCCUGUUAAAAGAUGAAAAUAUUUGUAUCACAAAUCUUAACUUGAAGGAGUCCUUGCAUCAAUUUUUCUUAUUUCAUUUCUUUGAGUGUCUUAAUUAAAAGAAUAUUUUAACUUCCUUGGACUCAUUUUAAAAAAUGGAACAUAAAAUACAAUGUUAUGUAUUAUUAUUCCCAUUCUACAUACUAUGGAAUUUCUCCCAGUCAUUUAAUAAAUGUGCCUUCAUUUUUUCAGAA